AUUGAACGCUGGCGGCGUGCCUAACACAUGCAAGUCGGACGGACGGAGGGAGCUUGCCCCCAAAGUCAGUGGCGCACGGGUGAGUAACGCGUGGAUGAUCUACCCUAGAGUUCGGGACAACAGUUGGAAACGACUGCUAAUACCGGAUACGGCACCAUUUCAUCUUGGUGUUAAAGGAGGCCUCUGCAUAUGCUUUCGCUUUGGGAUGAGUCCGCGUUUCAUUAGGUAGUUGGUGAGGUAACGGCUCACCAAGCCAACGAUGAAUAGCUGGUCGGAGAGGAUAAUCAGCCGCACUGGGACUGGAAAACGGCCCAGACUCCUACGGAAGGCAGCAGUGGGGAAUAUUGCGCAAUGGGCGAAAGCCUGACGCAGCGACGCCGCGUGAGGGAUGAAGGGCUUCGGUUCGUAAACCUCUGUCAGAAGGGAAGAAGUGUGCUCGUGCUAAUCAGCGGGCAUUUGACGGUACCUUCAAAGGAAGCACCGGCUAACUCCGUGCCAGCAGCCGCAGUAAAAC
rnacentral:rRNA from 1 species